GCUCCGGGAUUUGGAGCUCCCGUGACGUGUAUUGGGCCUAUAAUUGAUUAGGCCCGAUGGCCCAUGGACCUUGCACCGGAAACCAUUGGACCGGUGGCCAUUGGACGGGGCCGGGAAUCUGAGCAGCAGAAGUGAUAGCAGGAUCCGAGUCAGCAGCUGUAGCAGAAGUAGGAACGGCAGAAGAUCGUUCCUCUUCAGUUAAAUCAAUUUGAUCCGAGGCUUGAUUUUGAGGACUAAACUUGCAACAGCAAAUCAGAAAAAAAAAAAACACGGAGGCAAUUUGAAGGACUUUUCUGCGAAAGCUAGGUCAAGAAAGACCGCUCUGAUACCACGACAGAAAACAAAGAAAAUGGAGGAAAUUUUGUAUUGUAUUGAUCUGAAAAGAAUACAUGUACAUUGGUCUAUUUAUAAUGCUAGAAAGAAGAAAAAACAGGAAAUAAUAUACAAGAUUACAAUUUCC